GCCUCUGAAUUCUUCUUUCAGAAUGAUGUCAUCGUCACUGGAGUUCUCCUCACAGAAGAAUCCACUGUCUGGCUGUUGGGAAACCACACAGCAGGACAUCAUGGCCACAUCUUUGAAAUCGGACAGCACUCUGACACAACUCUUUCCACCAUGAUGUGUCACCGGGCUCCACCCAUCCCUCACCUAAAGAGAACCAAGGGCCUGUGUACCAUCUCAGCCCGAGGUCAGGAUAACGGGUGGAUUUUCUGAGCUCUAAGAGAGUGACAAACCAUGCAGAGGAGUCGCUGCUGUGGGGAGUAAAUUUACCACCUUCAUUUAAAUGGCUAUAAAAAGCUAGACCAAAGGUCUGAAGCGUGAAAAGGUCCUGGUAGAGGAACUUCCCCAAAAGUGAAAUGAACAGCUGUCUGGGAUGUUCGCUUCCUUUGUACAAGCUGGAUGGUCCUCAACGGAGCUUUCCUAACUUCUGCAUUCUGAUCCGAAAUAGAAACAAAACUGUCAAAAAUCCCCCUAGAAGUCCACAGUUGCUGAAGUUGUCAUGUGACCCCUACUUAGGCUCAUGUUACAUAACACGAGUUUAUCAAUCUUAGUAAACGUAGCAUAAAGAACAUACGAGGUGGUGGGUAAACGUGUAUACAAAAGCACAGUGGAUAUUUUAUUACAUGCUCAAACACAGACAGCUAGCUCACAACACUUGUGGUUUCACAGUUGGCCCUCUGAAAAGGACAUCGUAGUAGGACGGAUGUUGUUGCCUUUCCACUGCUGUGUUCUCUUUAUCUAGGACAGCAUGUGCCAAGCAGUGACACACAAUUUAAUUUUAAUCAAAGUAGAUUGAAAAUAAAAGUAAUUAAACGAUUGCUUA